GCGUGAAUGAUGAAGGCCUUAGGGUUGUAAAGUUCUUUUAGUAGGGAAGAUAAUGACGGUACCUGCAGAAAAAGCCCCGGCUAACUCCGUGCCAGCAGCCGCGGUAAGACGGAGGGGGCUAGCGUUGUUCGGAAUUACUGGGCGUAAAGGGCGCGUAGGCGGCUUAAUAAGUUGGGAGUGAAAGCCCGGGGCUUAACCUCGGAAUAGCUUUCAAAACUGUUAGGCUAGAGUGUAGUAGGGGAUGAUGGAAUUCCUAGUGUAGAGGUGGAAUUCUU
rnacentral:rRNA from 1 species